rnacentral:rRNA from 1 species
AUUUGAUAGCACCUCGCUACUUGGAUAACCGUGGUAAUUCUAGAGCUAAUACAUGCUGAAAAUCCCGACUUCGGAAGGGAUGUAUUUAUUAGAUUAAAGACCAAUGCCCCCUGGGCUCUCUGGUGAUUCAUGAUAACUGCUCGGAUCGCACGGCCUUGCGCCGGCGAUGGCUCAUUCAAAUUUCUUCCCUAUCAACUUUCGAUGUUUGGGUAGUGGCCAAACAUGGUUACAACGGGUAACGGAGGGUUAGGGCUCGACCCCGGAGAAGGAGCCUGAGAAACGGCUACUACAUCCAAGGAAGGCAGCAGGCGCGCAAAUUACCCAAUCCCGACACGGGGAGGUAGUGACAAUAAAUACUGAUACAGGGCUCUUUUGGGUCUUGUAAUUGGAAUGAGUACAAUUUAAAUCCCUUAACGAGGAACAAUUGGAGGGCAAGUCUGGUGCCAGCAGCCGCGGUAAUUCCAGCUCCAAUAGCGUAUAUUAAAGUUGUUGUGGUUAAAAAGCUCGUAGUUGAACCUUGGGCCUGGCUGGCCGGUCCGCCUCACCGCGUGCACUGGUCCGGCCGGGCCUUUCCCUCCGCGGAACCCCAUGCCCUUCGCUGGGCGUGGCGGGGAAACGGGACUUUUACUUUGAAAAAAUUAGAGUGCUCCAGGCAGGCCUAUGCUCGAAUACAUUAGCAUGGAAUAAUGAAAUAGGACGUGCGGUUCUAUUUUGUUGGUUUCUAGGACCGCCGUAAUGAUUGAUAGGGACAGUCGGGGGCAUCAGUAUUCAACCGUCAGAGGUGAAAUUCUUGGACCGGUUGAAGACUAACUACUGCGAAAGCAUUUGCCAAGGAUGUUUUCAUUAAUCAGGAACGAAAGUUAGGGGAUCGAAGACGAUCAGAUACCGUCGUAGUCUUAACCAUAAACUAUGCCGACUAGGGAUCGGACGAUGUUA